rnacentral:rRNA from 1 species
CCUACGGGGGGCAGCAGUGGGGAAUAUUGCACAAUGGGCGCAAGCCUGAUGCAGCCAUGCCGCGUGUGUGAAGAAGGCCUUCGGGUUGUAAAGCACUUUCAGCGGGGAGGAAGGCGGUGAGGUUAAUAACCUCAUCGAUUGACGUUACCCGCAGAAGAAGCACCGGCUAACUCCGUGCCAGCAGCCGCGGUAAUACGGAGGGUGCAAGCGUUAAUCGGAAUUACUGGGCGUAAAGCGCACGCAGGCGGUCUGUCAAGUCGGAUGUGAAAUCCCCGGGCUCAACCUGGAGACUGCAUUCGAAACUGGCAGGCUAGAGUCUUGUAGAGGGGGGUAGAAUUCCAGGUGUAGCGGUGAAAUGCGUAGAGAUCUGGAGGAAUACCGGUGGCGAAGGCGGCCCCCUGGACAAAGACUGACGCUCAGGUGCGAAAGCGUGGGGAGCAAACAGGAUUAGAUACCCGGGUAGUC